UACCAGCACCCCGAGUGGUCUGGACGAUUAUUGGGCCUAAAGCAUCCGUAGCCGGUCCUGCAAGUCUUCCGUUAAAUCCAGCGGCUCAACAGAUGGGCUGCGGGGGAUACUACAGGGCUAGGAGGCGGGAGAGGCAAGCGGUACUUUAUGGGUAGGGGUAAAAUCCGUUGAUCCAUAGAAGACCACCAGUGGCGAAGGCGGCUUGCCAGAACGCGAUCGACGGUGAGGGAUGAAAGCUGGGGGAGCAAACCGG
rnacentral:rRNA from 1 species